UACAGAGUCAGACUGGAACAAGAUUGCAUCCGGUAGAUCAGUGGUUCUCAACCUGUGGAACAGUGCAGGGCACUUUUAAUUAGAAUUUCAGAAGGGAACUUACCGAUUUAAAAUCACCGUCUUGAGUGUGCAUCCACUGAACACAAUGCACACAUGCAACCGUUGACUCUCAAUAAACACUGAAGUCACUGCAAAAACCACACGUGGCUCAGGAAAUGCUACAUGUGGAGAUAGCAGAUGUUAUUUUGGAGUGAAGCUGUUAGCAAAGAAAGCCGGUAUUCCCCCCCACCCUGAGAAAAUAACAAGAGAAAUACAAAAUCCAGACUUUGAGAAGUUUAUUAGUGGUUCUAUGUAUCGAGACAGAUUUUAAAAAAAGUGCAUAGAACAAGCCCUUUAUUUCACAGCAGAUUUUGUACUAAAGGAUUAUUACAUGGCACAGAUCUUUGUGUUAAAAUUCAGACAAUUGAAACCACGAAAACCCAUCACAGUGUUAUCAAUCUUUUUGCCUAGGAGAAUUCUUCUAAACUAAGGCAUAAAGAGCUGAUGCAAGUUUAUGUGUGCACGUGAAAUGUCAAUUCUGACCCCUAAACUUUAUAAACGCUGUAGAAAUUCACUAAGUAUAAAAACUAUCUUUAGGAUCUUCCAGGAGGUGUUUUUUUUUUUUUUUUAAGUUUAAUUGGUGUCAGUGGCUGGGGUUUUAUAAAAGCUGCAAUGCCAGAAAAAGAAUUUCUAAACCUUUUCUGCACAGUAUUUUCACAAUUAAAAUCCCUUCCGUUUUUUCCCCCCUGAAGAGCUGGCUGGCAAGAAUGGUUCCUAAAUGCUGCUAAUCCUACCAUCAUCCCAUAAACCAGCUUUUUAAAAUCUUGAAAAUAGUCAUCGUACUCUUCCACGUUAUGUCUAGCUUGCACAUUUAAAGUAGAAAAAAAUAAGAGGUAUCAAUAGACUGAUGCAUGUGCUGUACAUUUACCUUGUCCUGUAGUAAACCUUUAAUGCAAAACCGAUGAUUUUGGUGCUCUGUUUCAUGGUCCUGUUUCAUAAAAUGGCACCAAGGAUUCCUACUAAGAGAUUUUGGUUUGAAUUACUCUCUGCUUUAAAAGGAGACUGCACUAAUUGGCCUAUAGUUGCUAAGGAACAAGCUGUAUAAUAUUAAUGCAUAUAUCUUGCUUCUUCAGUUUCUCUCUGUCCAAAAGUUUAUUAUCAGCAGUCCUGCAAAUUAUUCUCGAGAAUGAAAUAAAACUAGGCUAUUGCCAUUCAGCUCCAAGACUCAUAACUGCUUCAUAUUAAUUUAAAGCUGUUCUGCCCCUUAAAAAGGGGCAUUUCAUAACGUUGGUAAAGAUGAACAAACUUAAAAAGUUUUUUUUUUUUCAUUUAAAAAAAAUAUAGAAAGGUU